rnacentral:rRNA from 1 species
UGGGGAAUAUUGCACAAUGGGCGCAAGCCUGAUGCAGCCAUGCCGCGUGUGUGAAGAAGGCCUUCGGGUUGUAAAGCACUUUCAGCGAGGAGGAAGGUGGUGAACUUAAUACGUUCAUCAAUUGACGUUACUCGCAGAAGAAGCACCGGCUAACUCCGUGCCAGCAGCCGCGGUAAUACGGAGGGUGCAAGCGUUAAUCGGAAUUACUGGGCGUAAAGCGCACGCAGGCGGUUUGUUAAGUCAGAUGUGAAAUCCCCGGGCUCAACCUGGGAACUGCAUUUGAAACUGGCAAGCUAGAGUCUCGUAGAGGGGGGUAGAAUUCCAGGUGUAGCGGUGAAAUGCGUAGAGAUCUGGAGGAAUACCGGUGGCGAAGGCGGCCCCCCUGGACGAAGACUGACGCUCAGGUGCGAAAAGCGUGGGGAGCAAAACAGGAUUAGAUACCCUGGUAGUCCACGCUGUAAACGAUGUCGAUUUGGAGGUUGUGCCCUCGAGGCGUGGCUUCCGGAGCUAACGCGUUAAAUCGACCGCCUGGGGAGUACGGCCGCAAGGUUAAAACUCAAAUGAAUUG